UACGGAGGGUGCAAACGUUGCUCGGAAUUAUUGGGCGUAAAGCGCACGUAGGCGGUUUUUCAAGUCGGGUGUGAAAUCCCUCGGCUCAACCGAGGAAGUGCAUUCGAAACUGGAAGGCUAGAGUACGCAAGAGGAUGGCGGAAUUCCCGGUGUAGAGGUGAAAUUCGUAGAUAUCGGGAGGAACACCAGCGGCGAAGGCGGCCAUCUGGGGCGAUACUGACGCUGAGGUGCGAAAGCGUGGGGAGCAAACAGG
rnacentral:rRNA from 1 species